GACAACUAUGCCGUUUUUGGGUCAGGACUGGAGAUCUCCUGGAUGGAGUUGGAUUAAAACAGAAGAUGGCUGGAAAAGAUGUGAAUCAUGGAGUCAGGAACUUAAGAAAGAGAAUAACCAACGUGACAUCAAUCACAGCAUCAUCUUAAGUAAUGAAGAAGAAAUAUUCAAUAGUGAAGAGCAUAAAUAUGCAUCAAAAAAAAGGAAAGAUGACCAUUUUAGGAAUGACACAAGUACUCAAUGUUUUUAUCGUGAGAAAUGGAUCUAUGUCCACAAAGAAAGCACAAGAGAAAGGCAUGGCUACUGUACUUUGGGAGAGGCCUUUAAUCGCUUGGACUUCUCAAGCGCAGUUCAGGAUAUCCGCAGGUUCAACUAUGUGGUCAGACUAUUGCAGCUAAUUGCAAAAUCUCAGUUAACGUCAUUGAGUGGUGUGGCACAAAAGAAUUACUUCAACAUUUUGGAUAAAAUCGUUCAAAAGGUUCUUGAUGACCAUCAAAAUCCUCGCCUAAUCAAAGGUCUUCUCCAGGACCUGAGCUCCACACUUUGCAUUCUCAUUAGAGGAGUCGGGAAGUCGGUAUUGGUGGGGAAUAUCAAUAUUUGGAUUUGCCGAUUAGAAACUGUUCUCACCUGGCAACGACAGCUACAGGAUCUUCAGAUGACUAAGGCAAACGAUGGCCUUACUCUCAGCGACCUCCCUUUGCACAUGCUGAGUGACAUCUUGUCCCGAUUCUCAGAUGGCUGGGAUAUCGUCACCUUGGGCCAGGUGACACCAGCACUGCGUGCACUCAGUGAGGACAGGCAACUGUGGAGGAGGCUCUGCCAGCAUCACUUCACGGAGCAGCAGUUUUGUAGACAUUUGAUACUCUCAGAAAAAGGCCAUAUCGAAUGGAAGUUGAUGUAUUUUGCACUUCAGAAAUAUUACCCAACUAAGGAGCAGUACGGAGACACUUUACAUUUUUGCCGGCACUGCAGCAUUCUCUUCUGGAAGGACUGCCGCCUUGCUUUAUUAUUCAAGGACUCGGGUCACCCCUGCACUGCCUCCGACCCCGACAGCUGCUUCGUGCCCGUGUCCCCGCAGCACUUCAUUGAUCUCUUCAAGUUCUGAAGGCGCCCUUGCCCUGCGGCUGCCGCUGUUGUUCACGGGAGUCAAGAGCUGCAGAGAACUGGCCCAUGUGCACAGGCAGGAAUGCACUGUUGUGUAUUUCCAUCUUUUGGGGGGCAGGGAGCCCAAGCAAAAUCAUUCCUACGUCCUUCUUUAACAAGUUGUUUUAAGCAUAUUAAACUUGGCAAACAUGGUGCAAAAGAGAUUCGCGUUUUCAGCACCACAGUCUGUGUGCUGAACUGAUAACAAUCAGCCAAGAAUAACCUUGUCGUCAAAUGACAAUUUCCCAGUGUUGUACUGUUUGGGGGCAAGGGGCAGAACAGUUCAAUUGGUCCUUGUUCAUAUAUUGUGCAGAAUAUUUAUUUUUCUUAAGAUGCAUUUUGACUGCAAUGGCUGUGUCCAAAUGAACCCUUUGAAUGCAUGUGAGUCCACGGAACCAUCUGCAAACCCAUCUGGUGUUUGACCAGCAAACGUAUGGGUGGCACUCGAGGACAGACGCUGAUCUGCCAGCAGGAGGGGCUCUCACUGCACCGUGAGGGGCCUCACUGCUGGGCACCUGCCAACUGAGUCAGGGCCGGCCCAUGUUACCUCACCUUGGCUGAGACUUCAUAAAGCAACAGACGCGCUCAAACCCCAAACUGCGAGUGCACGUUGGCAAACCUACACCGUGUAUGAGGCACGGUGGUCCUGGGAGCACUAACAGGGACUCACUCGGCUGUGUGAGGCGAAGACCAAGUCAGGAGACAAGAGUGACACCACAGUCAGGGUGACCAGAGCUGCCCCACAGGAGUUGCCCACCAGGGAAAGCUGAUGUGUGGACAUCAUCUCAGCUCCCCUUUGCCUACUUCAGACUCCUAACCUUUUGGAAAGUGGUGUCCCCCUGAGCCCAGUGCCAAACGCCAGAGCCACCUGACUGAGCUGAGCAGCUGCUCAUGGACGUGCUCAUGCCUCCCAAGACCCCAGCACCCAUCAGGCGAACUAGGACCCUCACUCAGCAGGCAUCCUCAAUUCGCGCCGUUGCCAACUCAGAUCCCAGGUGACACUGCUGUCAAGUUCUGGGGCCAGAGGAAGCUGCUGCACUGCUUUCCCAGGUUCUUGGGGAAAAACAAGAGGGACGCCAUCUCAUUCACUCAGACGGACCUCGGGCCUCUUUCAUCAAGGCGCCCUCUGCCUUUCUGAGGAUGGUGCAUACGUGACCCCAGACAGAUGUGAGAAACAUUCCAGGUAAAGAGGCGUUCUUUUAACCACUGGCAGUAAGACUGGCUAACUUAGGGCAUCAUCUGAUUAACAUUUGCCUGUAAUUUUCUUGACAUUGCACAUGGCCAUAAAGAUACCACUGUUUUACCACAGAAAUGUCUCCAGACCUCCACAAUCCACUCAGGCACAAAUCUAGCUCCUGCCUCCGCCUGUUACACCACCUUCUUCUUCCUUGUCCCCUUCCCUGGAAUCGCUUGUUCCAUGUGAACAGCCCAGUACAGUAAGUGCGCAUCGGUGGGCUAGGGCCUCCCCCUUCUACUGGAGGGAUGGCCGGCUACUUGGGAGCUACCCCCAUAGGGACUCCUGCAGGGCCUUCACUCUCUCUGGGCUUGCAAACCAGUACUCAGAACCUAUCCAGUCAUGGGCCAGGGGCUUGUGGCCCCCUCAUCUAUUCCAUACUCUGCCUCUGUCAGAAUGCUCAGCUCAAGCACACAGUACCACCUCUACGCUAAGGGGGCUGUUCCGAAGUGAGCAGAGCCUUCCAGGGCUGGUUUUGGACCCGAGCGUGGCCCAUGGUGGGCCUGUCCAGCCCUGCUACUGUCUACUGCACUCCAAAAAUACAAAUGGAAAAUUCCAGAAAUAAACAAUCCAGAAACUUUAAACCAAGUGCUGUUCUGUAUGAUGAAAUCUCACUCCAUUAGCCACUAUUGGUCUCACAGAGCCUGUGCUCACAGAACCCUUAACAGUGGUUGUGCUGGCU